GGACCGAUGCUAUUUGGGGUGUGACCUGAUGCGAUUCGGGGUUUGGAAUGGACCGAUUUUAUUUUAGCGGUUGCGUGAAGCUUUGCACGAGGCUGCGACGUACAUGAGGCGCCUUAGCACGGUAUCGUGCACGGUAAGUCUGGGCCGCAAGCUUGGGGGUUGAACUGCUGUUCGCGCUCAAAUGCAUCCGUUAGUCGUUGGAAUUGGAAUAUUUAACCGUUUUAUCUGUUCUUAUGCAGGGUCUCCACUUCCGCAGGCUUUCUGUUUGAAAGUUGCACGAGUGCGCGGCCUCAGGUCUAACGAGGCUGCGACGUGCGUGAGGCGCCUUAGCACGGUAUCGUGCACGGUAAGUCUGGGCCGCACGCUUGGGGGGUAAACUGCCGUUCGCGCUCAAAUGCAUCCGUUAGUCGUUGGAAUUGGAAUAUUUAACCGUUUCGUCUGUACAUAUGCAGGGUCUCCACUUCCGCAGGCUUUCUGUUUGAAAGUUGCACGAGUCCGCGGCCUCAGGUCUAACUAGGCUGCGGAGUACGUGAGCCGCCUUAGCACGGUAUCGUGCACGGUAAGUCUGGGCCGCAAGCUUGGGGGGUAAACUGCCGUUCGCGCUCAAAUGCAUCCGUUAGUCGUUGGAGUUGGCAUGUUUAACCGUUUCAUCUGUACAUAUGCAGGGGCUCCAGUCCGCAUUGUGGAGCCCGCGCCAAUAGCCAAGCUGCGGCCUCAGGUCUAACUAGGCUGCGACGUGCGUGAGGCGCCUUAGCACGGUAUCGUGCACGGUAAGUCUGGGCCGCACGCUUGGGGGGUAAACUGCCGUUCGCGCUCAAAUGCAUCCGUUAGUCGUUGGAAUUGGCAUAUUUAACCGUUUCGUCUGUACAUAUGCAGGGUCUCCACUUCCGCAGGCUUUCUGUUUGAAAGUUGCACGAGUGCGCGGCCUCAGGUCUAACGAGGCUGCGACGUACGUGAGGCGCCUUAGCACAGUAUUGUGCACGGUAAGUCUGGGCCGCAAGCUUGGGGGGUAAACUGCCGUUCGCGCUCAAAUGCAUCCGUUAGUCGUUGGAGUUGGCAUGUUUAACCGUUUCAUCU
rnacentral:lncRNA from 1 species